UUCUCCUUCACAAAACCAGAACCCCUAAACAAAGCCCUCCCCUCCCCCAUCUGAUUCAGUCAUUGACUCCUCCCCACCCGACCCGAGCCCAGAAGAAACAGCAACCAUGGUGACCGUCGCCGGCCUAGGCACCUCCACCCUCUCCCCUUCUUGCGUCGCUUCACCAGAAUAAGCCUCAGCUCAGGUUUCAUGAGAGUUCCGGUGGCUACCUGAAACCCAUUGAAAAGCUCGCUUCCAUGCACGGAAGGCUCACAUGCUUUGAGAGAGAUUGGUUGCGGAAGGACCUGAAUGCGGUUGGAUCCGGGUUGAUCGGGUGGAUUUUAAAUUUUUUCCUUCGAGCAUUCCAUUUAUCAACGGCAAGAGUUUAACCGGGUUAUUUUUUUGAGAGCAUUGGUGCUGAGCUUGCCAAUGGCCGACGGGCCCUGCUUUGAGCUUUCACUUGUCAGUUUUGGUGAGUAUAACCUGAAAAGUGAGAACUCAGUUCAGACUCAGAGUCAACUGUGUUAACUCACGGAACCAAUUUGAACACAGAAAGUCAGAAACCUAGAUUUAUUUGCUAAUAAUGGGUUUGGUUAUAA